AGCGCGUAGGGGCCGAGCGACCCCGGGACGCUCGCGGCACCCUCCGCAGGAAAAUUUCCGACUUGGUUCUUGAGGUUCCUGCCUCAGCCCCAAGGAGGAAAGCACCCAUUCUCCCCUCUUUUCCGCAUUCCGGGCCUUUUCUGCUUCUCCCCAGUAUGGUCCGAAACUACAGGAGGGGAACCCCUCCUGGCCCGGCCUUUCUAUUCCCUGGCUGGAGUGAUUCCGCCUGAAGGAGAAUUCGCCCGUUUUCCCCGGACCCAGCUGCCACAAGCAUUUAGUAUUAGGCUGCCGCUUAUUAUUAGAGCGGGCUUAGAACAUCCUCAGCGAGGUAGGUCGGCGUUCCUUUUCUCACUUAAAGGUGAGGUGUCGAGACGCGCCCCUGGACAGACAACGCCCGAAGGUCCAGGCCACUACGAAGUCCACGGAGGGGCAGCUUUCCCCUACGUGUAGGCCCGCGAACAAAGAACUACCGUUUUCUGAUUUUUUUUUUUUUUUGGCCGAUGUUCGUCAUGCAGAACCUUGAAUCCCGAUGAAGAUUUGGAGGCCUUUUGUAUCCUCAACAUCAGAGGUUGGAGUGCUGGAGUGCAGUAGCAUGAUCUCCGUUCACUGCAGCCUCAACCUCCUGGGCUCAAGUAAUCCUCCUGUCUUGUCCUCCCAAAAUGCUGGAAUUACAGUAUCAUAAUGAAGACCUGGAAAAAGACAAAACAUCACAAAACUGCCUAGGAAGAGGAAUGGAACAAGUAGCAAAGAAGUUAGGGGUGGCUCAUGAAGAGAUUCAAAGGCUCACUGAUGAACUACAAGUGAAGGAGAAGGAACAAUGUAAAUUAGGUAAGCUGUGGUUUCAGAUGACCAUUUCCGAUCAUGCUUUAACUGUACUGAUCUCAUCUCAGGGUGGAACAUGAGAAAAAAAAAAACACUGAGAAAAAAGUCUUUAAGAUAAACACAUAAAAGUGAUGAACAGCCUCAUUUUCUACCAUGCUAGGAAUUUUUGUCAAAGCCCAAGCAUA
rnacentral:sRNA from 1 species